rnacentral:rRNA from 1 species
UACGAAGGGGGCUGGCGUUGUUCGGAAUUACUGGGCGUAAAGAGCGUGUAGGCGGUCUGGUAGGUCCGUUGUGAAAACUCGAGGCUCAACCUCGAGACGCCGAUGGAAACCCUCAGACUAGAGUCCGGAAGAGGAGAGUGGAAUUCCUGGUGUAGCGGUGAAAUGCGCAGAUAUCAGGAAGAACACCCGUGGCUAAGGCGGCUCUCUAGUACGGUACUGACGCUGAGACGCGAAAGCGUGGGGAGCGAACAGG